AAUACGCAAUAUGCUGUCUUUCAGGUUGAACUCUUCUUUAUGCAUUUUAAUUUUAAUCAAUUGCAUUUUUGUUUUUGUAGUCAUGUUGCAUGUCACUUGAUGUGUAUAAACAUAAGAUAUUAGCAGUUAUGAGGGCUUUUUCUUUCUUUUAAAUUAAGGAUUGAGAAUGGUUGCUGCAAUAGUAGGUGACUCGAGCCCAUUUAACAAAAUGAUCAAAAUUAGUUGUGGCAGGCUACAUGAAUCUUCUUCCAGUCCAUCCCAUGUCCAUAUCCAAAGUCAUUUCCUCAAUUAGAUGUUUGGAUACCAAGUUUUUUUCUUCAUUACUUUAAAUCCAAGCUAUUUUCAGUAUACAAUCGACCCUUUUUCGCUCCUACCAAAUUUUUUAUCUUUAGGAAUGUUGAUAUGAUGUGGCAAUAGUUUAACACUAAUUACCAACCUAUAUCCUUUUCUGGGCGUGGGAUUUUCUGUGUAAUGAUAGGACAAGUAGAUCCAGCAUAGGGGUCGGUAAAGUAUGCAUAUUAAAGAAUUAUCAAAUCACUAAGGAGCACUACUCUAAAUAUCUCUUCAGAUAAGGAUUGCAUGCAAAUUUCACUCAAUGAACCAAAGCAUUAAUGAUUUGCAGCUUUAGGUGGCAUAUUUACUCUUUGAAUAGAAAUUGCAAGAAAAUUUGCACUUGGAAUGUAAUUAAGCUCUUUCAGCCCCAUGAAUAUAUUACUUAGUAUUCACGUAUUUGGCAUAUCAUGCAGACAAACAUGACACAAUUUCAUAAUAUGUUCUUAUUCAUCUUUGACAUUUCUUUAUUUCUUUGAUUUGUCCCUUUUCUACCUGCUAAGCAUGAUAUUCUUUCUGAUAGUUAAUUUUAGGUUGGAUGACCAACAUGGUAUGAAGUUUAGUUUACUAUGUUUGGUCGUUUUCUCUCUAUUUUGUUGGAUAGCAUGACCAAUUUGUUUCAGUUAAGUUCUUUGGUUUUUCUUGGAUCUGCAGGUGGUUAAUGUUAAGAACAGGAAUCCAUAUCCAUUUUGUCUUAAUAAUAUAACUUUAUGGAUGUCUGCAUCUAAGACUUCGAACUAUUGGAAUGGAUGAUUUUAAUAUUUGAACUUUGAAGUGUGUUAAGCAUGGUGUUGCAUAUCUUUUAUAGUUUAAACUCAGCAUUACUCCAGAUUCUCCUGAAUUUUACAAGUUUUUGCAAUGUGGCCAUCAAAAACUAACUUGGUGCAAACACUCAAACAAUCAGAAUGAUGAUAAUCUAUACCUUUUAGGUUACUGGAGUUAUUUGAAUCCUACUGUCCAAUUGACAUGAUCAUAUUAUCAUAUAUGUAUUUGAAAUGCUAACUAAGCAGUGAUUGGUCAUAUGGGCCUACCAUCUUAAACUUUCAAAAAAAAUGAUCCCAGUUGGAGUUGACUAAAAUUAUGGACUAAUCAGUAAUAGCCACAUAUAGGGAGAAAAUGAUCAAGGAAGAGACAUGGCAUGCUGAUUAGUCCAUAACUUUUGUUGACACCAUUUACAAGGAUUCAAAGUAGCAAGCUCCUUGUGCCACACCAAUGCUUAGUCAGCAUUUUAAUACACAUCAACAUUCCACUUGGAUAGUAUGGACUAAAAAUUGAGUCAUCACUAGUAAUAGUUUCAGUAACCGAUCUGUGUUGAUUUUAAAAAUUUUGACUUUUCAAGUGUUUGAUUGCACCAAUUCAGAAUUUGAGAACCACAUAGCAAAAACUAAAAAGGUAAUAGUUUCAGUAAGCUGAACUGUAUUGACUUUAACUAUUUUGAUUUUUCAAGUGUUUGAUUGUACCAAAUCAGAAUUUGAGAACCACUUUGCAAAAACUAACAAAGUUUGUGUUGCAAACCUGGUCUUAUGCCAUUUGAGCUCAUAGGUUGGAAGCCUAAUCAUGGUAUUGAAGCCUCAUUGCAUUACACUUGUUACUGUUAUUCCUUGUUUUAAUCCCAUUUAUUGUCAUUGUUUUCUAUUAUUUCUCCAUUUUUGGGCCUACAAGUUAUGGGCUUGUGGAAUAAUCUUGUAAUUCCAUACUGGUUAGAUUUAAGUUUGAUACUUGGCCUCGUGUACAUGCAAUUCUCCAUCCAAUAGCAUUAGCUGUUAAAGAGAGAUGAGCAUUAUGCUUUACACUAACUCUCUAACCUUGCCUUGUGGUUUAUGAUAGUUAAACCAGCAUUGUUAGUGAGAAUGUUUGUUAAGUAGCAGAAUGUUAAGUACUAUAUUUUUGAAGGCCUAAUUACACCAAAAAUCCAAAUCUUUUCACAAAUUGGCACUCUAAUCCAUUUUUUUUAAUUUUGGCAAUUUAGACCCAAUUUCUGAUAUUGGUUAAAAUU
rnacentral:misc_RNA from 1 species